UACGUAGGGGGCAAGCGUUGUCCGGAUUUAUUGGGCGUAAAGAGCGUGUAGGCGGCCAGAUAAGUCUGCUGUGAAAACUCGAGGCUCAACCUCGAGCUGUCGGCGGAAACUAUUUGGCUAGAGUCCGGAAGAGGAAAGCGGAAUUCCUGGUGUAGCGGUGAAAUGCGCAGAUAUCAGGAGGAACACCGGUGGCGAAGGCGGGAUCCUGGGCCAGUACUGACGCUGAGGAGCGAAAGCGUGGGGAGCAAACAGGG
rnacentral:rRNA from 1 species